GGGGUUGUGGCUCAGCGGUAGAGCGCUCGCUAGCAUGUGAGAGGUCCUGGGUUCAAUCCUCAGCACCACA
rnacentral:tRNA from 1 species